GUAGGGAAUCUUCCACAAUGGACGAAAGUCUGAUGGAGCAACGCCGCGUGAGUGAAGAAGGGUUUCGGCUCGUAAAACUCUGUUGUUAAAGAAGAACAUAUCUGAGAGUAACUGUUCAGGUAUUGACGGUAUUUAACCAGAAAGCCACGGCUAACUACGUGCCAGCAGCCGCGGUAAUACGUAGGUGGCAAGCGUUGUCCGGAUUUAUUGGGCGUAAAGCGAGCGCAGGCGGUUUUUUAAGUCUGAUGUGAAAGCCUUCGGCUCAACCGAAGAAGUGCAUCGGAAACUGGGAAACUUGAGUGCAGAAGAGGACAGUGGAACUCCAUGUGUAGCGGUGAAAUGCGUAGAUAUAUGGAAGAACACCAGUGGCGAAGGCGGCUGUCUGGUCUGUAACUGACGCUGAGGCUCGAAAGUAUGGGUAACAAACAGGAUUAGAUACCCCGGUAGUCC
rnacentral:rRNA from 1 species